rnacentral:lncRNA from 1 species
AGCCGUGGGGGAGGGGAAAGGGCGCGCGGCCUCGGAUGCGCAGACCCUGGGCCGGCGACUCGGGGACCCUGCUCCCUCUUAGCUAAAAAUGACGUCGGCGUUCAGCUCCUCCAACCUCACGUGGACAGGCGAGGGAACCGAGACCCAGAGAGGGCAGGGGACUUUGGCAAACUCACACAGCCCACCGCAGGCAACUGGAACUGAAACCCAGGACUCCGUCUCUUGCCAGUGAAAGUUAUGUUAGGAAGCAGUGAGGGGUCUAAAGCAGUAUGAAAGGCAAAGAGAAAAGGUGAUUGUUCCCUCUUGAAUGGCCCUUGGAAGCUGAGUAUCUGGAUUCACCCUCCCUAGGGAAUUUCCCGAUUGUCUUGCAGGCUUACACACUCAUCAAGAUGACAAAAAUAAUGACAGUAACACUUAUGUGGAACUUGACUUUUUCCCAGGUGCUGCUCUAAGCAUUUACUGUGUUUGUUUUACAGGAAGGAAGACUGUACACAGAGAAUAAAUAACUUGGCCAAGCCAUUCAGCUAGGAAGUUGUAGAUCCUAAAUUAAGAGUUCAAGGUCUUAAUGGCUACUCUAUGCGGCCUCUCAUAGUCUUUUCAAGGGUUUUGGAGAAGAAUAAAAGAUCAGUUGCUUGUGAUACAUCAGUAUCCUCACUCACCCCCAACUCCAGAGGCUGAAACUAACUCUCCUCCUCCCUCUUCCAACUGCUGAGGAAGAUGAGUCAAUGGUGUUACUGGACCCUGUGAACUGAUGCUGUGAAGAGAGGCCAUUUAACACGGACUACGGGGAAUGGUGCCACAGGGGGCUCAGUGCUGCCCUUCACUCUCAGCAUUUUGCUCACUCAGCAUUGAUGACAGGAUGUCCCAAAAGUAACAAAAGAUGGGAGCCAGUCCUCUCAUAGCUGUUUCUUCAAUCAUCCCAUCAACAGCUCUUCAUUUAUUGAACUACCUUCCUUUUCCAAAGAGGUAAUGCUGAGAUCAGUCAGAAAGGCUUUCUGAGAAAACUGGCUUGGAUUUCUGGGUCUGUUGCAGUCAAUUCAAGAUGAACUGGCUUGUAUCAAUGAAGCGCUCAAUGCAGUUCACAAAACAGGCCUCAGCCCGACUGUCCAACUUUGGCCCAGGCUUGUCCAUGCACUUCUCCCAACAAAGUUCAGUCAUCUGGUGCACCAGCUGCUGGAAGCGCUGCUUUUGAGUCUCUACCUCAAUGAAAAUGCUGCAACUGCGGGUCCACUGCACCCAAACCCGCCGCAGAGGAAGAGCAGGAGGAAUCCAUCCCAGGACAACCAUGCUUGCAGAGACGAACUCCGCACCAACCUUCACGUGUCUCCACGACCUAGUUAAUCAAUUUAAAAUGAGGUCACUAGGGUGGGCCCCAAUCCAAUAUGACUGAUAACUUUAUAAAAAGGAGAGAUUUGGAUACAGAAAGAGACAGAGUGAAAACCAUGUGAAGAAACAUAGGAAAAGAUGGCAGCUACAAGCCAAGGAGAAGCUUGCAGUGUGUAUUCAUCUGUUCUCAUGCUGUUAAUAAAGACAUACCUGAGACUGGGUAAUUUAUAAAGGAAA